GACGAACGCUGGCGGCGGGCUUAACACAUGCAAGUCGAACGGAAAGGCCCUGCUUUUGUGGGGUGCUCGAGUGGCGAACGGGUGAGUAACACGUGAGUAACCUGCCCUUGACUUUGGGAUAACUUCAGGAAACUGGGGCUAAUCCCGGAUAGGAGCUCCUGCUGCAUGGUGGGGGUUGGAAAGUUUCGGCGGUUGGAGAUGGACGCGCGGCUUAUGAGCUUGUUGGUGGGGUAGUGGCUUACCAAGGCUUGGACGGGUAGCCGGCCUGAGAGCGUGACCGGCCACAUUGCGACUGAGAGACGGCGCAGACUGCUACGUGAGGCAGCAGUGGGGAAUAUUGCACAAUGGGCGGAAGCCUGAUGCAGCAACGCCGCGGUCGUGAUGACGGCCUUCGGGGUGUAAACAGCUUUCGCCUGUGACGAAGCGUGAGUGACGGUAAUGGGUAAAGAAGCACCGGCUAACUACGUG
rnacentral:rRNA from 1 species